CCAGGCCAAAUCUCCAAAUGAAAUCAGGCCGGGGAGAAAUGAACAACCGAGAUGCACAAAACAAUGUGAAGAAGAAACGAAUAAUAAUAUAAAAAAAAGGCCAGGAAGUGACAGGAUCACCUCUGCUCACAUCCCACGGGCUGGAACACGUCACCUGUCUACCUGCACGACAGGAGGCUGGCAGCGUCGUGCAGCUGAAGGUCCAGGAAGAAAAGGAGAACGCAGAUGAGCCCUGCCCGUCUCCACGGUGCCCUGGUUCACACGGCCGACAACAGCGAAAUCCGUCCUUUGACCCGGGUUCUGACAGCAGCCAGAGUGUUCCUCCUUCAGCCUGAGCAGAUGGGAGAAAUCAUACACUUAAUUAGAUCCCAG